GCCUGCAUGGUGUAGUGGUCUGAACAUUAGACUAUGACUCUGGAGACAAAGAUUUGAAUCCUGGCUCAGCCA